rnacentral:rRNA from 1 species
UACGGGGGGGGCAAGCGUUGUUCGGAAUUACUGGGCGUAAAGGGCGCGUAGGCGGCCUUCUAAGUCGAACGUGAAAUCCCCGGGCUCAACCCGGGAACUGCGUCCGAUACUGGAAGGCUUGAAUCCGGGAGAGGGAUGCGGAAUUCCAGGUGUAGCGGUGAAAUGCGUAGAUAUCUGGAGGAACACCGGUGGCGAAGGCGGCAUCCUGGACCGGUAUUGACGCUGAGGAGCGAAAGCCAGGGGAGCAAACGGG